UUAAAUUGAAGAGUUUGAUCAUGGCUCAGAUUGAACGCUGGCGGCAGGCCUAACACAUGCAAGUCGAACGGUAACAGGAAGAAGCUUGCUUCUUUGCUGACGAGUGGCGGACGGGUGAGUAAUGUCUGGGAAACUGCCUGAUGGAGGGGGAUAACUACUGGAAACGGUAGCUAAUACCGCAUAACGUCGCAAGACCAAAGAGGGGGACCUUCGGGCCUCUUGCCAUCGGAUGUGCCCAGAUGGGAUUAGCUAGUAGGUGGGGUAACGGCUCACCUAGGCGACGAUCCCUAGCUGGUCUGAGAGGAUGACCAGCCACACUGGAACUGAGACACGGUCCAGACUCCUACGGGAGGCAGCAGUGGGGAAUAUUGCACAAUGGGCGCAAGCCUGAUGCAGCCAUGC
rnacentral:rRNA from 1 species